GCAAGUCGAACGAUUUCUAUGGGAGUACUUGUACUCACAAAGAAAUAGCGGCGGACGGGUGAGUAACGCGUGGGCAACCUACCCUAAACAAUGGGAUAGCCCUUCGAAAGGGGGAGUAAUACCAUAUAACACAUUUUUAAGGCAUCUUAAAAAUGUCAAAGAUUUAUCGGUUUAGGAUGGGCCCGCGUCUGAUUAGCUAGUUGGUAAGGUAAAAGCUUACCAAUGGCGACGAUCAGUAGCCGACCUGAGAGGGUGAUCGGCCACACUGGAGCUGAGACACGGUCCAGACUCCUACGGGAGGCAGCAGUGGGGAAUAUUGCACAAUGGGGGGAACCCUGAUGCAGCAACGCCGCGUGAGCGACGAAGCCUUCGGGUCGUAAAGCUCUGUCCUAAGUGAAGAUAUGACGGUAACUUAGGAGGAAGCCCCGGCUAACUACGUGCCAGCAGCCGCGGUAAUACGUAGGGGCAAGCGUUAUCCGGAAUCAUUGGGCGUAAAGGGUGAGUAGGCGGCAAUACAAGUCAGAGGUGAAAGGCUACGGCGUUAACCGUAGUANGCCUUUGAAACUGUAUAGCUUGAGUAUGGGAAGGAGAGUGGAAUUCCUAUGUAGCGGUGAAAUGCGUAAUUUAGGAGGAACACCAGUGGCGAA
rnacentral:rRNA from 1 species